rnacentral:rRNA from 1 species
CAAUAGCGUAUAUUAAAGUUGUUGCGGUUAAAAAGCUCGUAGUUGGAUUUCUGCCGAGGACGACCGGUCCGCCCUCUGGGUGAGCAUCUGGGAUGGCCUGGGCAUCCUCUUGGGGAACGUAGCUGCACUUGACUGUGUGGUGCGGUAUCCAGGACUUUUACUUUGAGGAAAAUUAGAGUGUUUCAAGCAGGCGCACGCCUUGAAUACAUUAGCAUGGAAUAAUAAGAUAGGACCUCGGUUCUAUUUUGUUGGUUUCUAGAGCUGAGGUAAUGAUUAAUAGGGAGUAUUGGGGGCAUUCGUAUUUAACUGUCAGAGGUGAAAUUCUUGGAUUUGUUGAAGACGGACUACUGCGAAAGCAUCUGUCCAAAGAUGCUCUCAUUGAUCAAGAACGAAAGUUAGGGGAUCGAAGAUGAUUAGAUA